CAGUAGCCACGGUAAUACGUAGGGUGCAAGCGUUAAUCGGAAUUACUGGGCGUAAAGCGUGCGCAGGCGGUUAUAUAAGUCAGAUGUGAAAUCCCCGGGCUCAACCUGGGAACUGCAUUUGAGACUGUAUGGCUAGAGUGUGUCAGAGGGGGGUAGAAUUCCACGCGUAGCAGUGAAAUGCGUAGAUAUGUGGAGGAAUACCGAUGGCGAAGGCAGCUCCCUGGGAUAACACUGACGCUCAUGCACGAAAGCGUGGGGAGCAAACAGGAUUAGAUACCCCCGUAGUCCCUGUCUCUUAUAA
rnacentral:rRNA from 1 species